CAGCACCUCCUGCAUUAAGAACCGCACUAUCUAUACUCGUUGUCACUUUGGAUGAAGCGCAUCCGAUAACAUCGUCUAUCAGUGCUUCUCUCCUCUUCGUACUAGACACUGCACCUACAAAACCCAAUUAGCUCAGAAGAUACUAUUUUGUAAAGAUCAACUUUGUAAACAAAAUAGUUCAGGUUUUGCAUACCUGAACCCUUGGCCUCAGCCUGGUGAUUAGAAGGUUCAUUGAGCGUGUUACUGGCUGUUCCAGAGCCGCCAUUUUCUGAUGAUUUUGCAUCGUUGCUGGGAGAUGAAAACAGGAUGUCUCGAAGUGCAGGAUCAGCAAAACAGCUGAGACCAGUAUCAUCAAACUUUUGACACCUGGCAAGUGUCCGCCGGGUGAACGCCAGCGCCGCUUGUCUUGUCACCUUGUGGACUUUAUAUGCUUUAUUUCCACGGGAUGCCUGUUUUCAGAGUAACAUCCAUAACCUCAUAUAUAUCUUAUCCCACAA